UACGUAGGGGGCAAGCGUUGUCCGGAAUCAUUGGGCGUAAAGAGCGUGUAGGCGGCUCGGUAAGUCCGCUGUGAAAGUCCAGGGCUCAACCCUGGAAUGCCGGUGGAAACUGUCGAGCUAGAGUCCGGAAGAGGCGAGUGGAAUUCCUGGUGUAGCGGUGAAAUGCGCAGAUAUCAGGAGGAACACCGAUUGCGAAGGCAGCUCGCUGGAACGUAACUGACGCUGAGACGCGAAAGCGUGGGGAGCAAACAGG
rnacentral:rRNA from 1 species